rnacentral:sRNA from 1 species
GGCGGAUGCAGCCUACCUCCUGGGCAGGGAGCUGCGGUCUGAGGCCCCUGCCCAGCUGGAAACCACAGGGAGGGGAAGGGAGGGGAGGGGAGGAGAGGAGAGGAGAGGAACCGUCAUGGGGCCUUGGAGUCGAGUCAGGGUUGCCAAAUGCCAGAUGCUGGUCACCUGCUUCUUUAUCUUGCUGCUGGGCCUCUCUGAGGCCACCAUAGUGACUCUUACCUACUUCGGGGCCCACUUUGCUGUCAUCCGCCAAGCGUCCCUGGAGAAGAACCCAUCCCAGGCUAUGCACCAAUGGGCCUUCUCUGCGGGGUUGAGCCUGGUGGGCCUCCUGACUCUGGGAGCUGUGCUGAGCGCUGCAGCCACCGUGAGGGAGGCCCAGGGCCUCAUGGCGGGGGGCUUCCUGUGCUUCUCCCUGGCGUUCUGCGCACAGGUGCAGGUGGUGUUCUGGAGACUCCACAGCCCCACCCAGGUGGAGGAUGCCAUGCUGGACACCUACGACCUGGUAUAUGAGCAGGCGAUGAAAGGCACAUCCCACGUCUGGCGGCAGGAGCUGGCGGCCAUCCAGGACGUGUUUCUGUGCUGUGGGAAGAGGUCUCCUUUCAGCCGUCUGGGGAACACAGAGGCUGACCUGUGUCAGGGAGAGGAGACGGCAAGAGAGGCGCUGUGCCCGGCCCUGGGCUGGAUGCUGGGAACCCAGAGUGAAUUAGAAGUGGCCUGGCCCAGGGGAGCCAACGUGUGGCCCAACA